CAGAUGUAUCCACAUGAUUGUUUACUUGUCUCCCAGAUCUUAAGGUGUAAAUUGUAUUUACAUGGUUGAAUCGACCUUCAGAUUGGGAUUAUUGACUGGUUUGGGCUAUUGGGUUAGGUUUUGGUUGGCUUGAUAAUUUUUUUUUCUCUUUCACUAAUGGUGGUAGCCAAUUAUCCUAAUUGCAUCUUUAAUCAGACUAUU
rnacentral:lncRNA from 1 species